rnacentral:lncRNA from 1 species
AAGAGACAGAGAUAGUUAACUUUUCAUGAAGGAAUGGACUAGAUGCAGUUGGGAGUUGAGCUGGGUGCUGGGAGGAGGGAGUGAAGGAAGGAAAUAGGAGGGCUGGAUACAUGGCCGGAGGCCAAGCCUGACUUCAGCAGUGGCUGUGGCCUAUUGCAUGUCCCCGGUAGUUAAUGCUAAAUCCUCACCAAUAACAUAUUCUAUUACACAAAUAUCUUGAGUGGGGCUGCAUUUAGUGGAAGUUGAAGUAGAAAUCUGCAUCCUAGUUCUGAGAUGGAACAGCCCAGAGCAACAGAGCUCAGCAGGACAAUCCCUGAGCUGAGCUAAUUCAGUGGCAACAGAACCUUCGAGCUUGAGCUGCUGACAACAUAAUGAAUGAUCUGGGACAUUGAAGAUGACUUGGGUUUGGGGGUACAAGGGGCAUGAGGCAGAACUUCCAUGAUCUAUGUGAGUUGUGAAGGAUAAGUUAGAAGGAAAUGCCUACCUAGCCACACUGGAAAGGAAGUUUGGUUUCCAAAUCAUCUCAAUCCAUCGGCUCAAGCAGAUGAGGAAGCUGAGACCUGGGUCACAUGCCUGAAGGCUUUCUGAAUCUAAGUGGACCCCAUUUCAGCUCAACUUAAGGACCUCAAUCCUCUGCUGCUUACAAUUGUCCCUUUGCUCCUUGCCGUGCUCUCCUGUUGUUGAUAUUUUCAUUUCAGCCAUUCAAAUUGAAUAUUUAGAAGAAGGAGCACAAGAAAGAGGACACCCUUAACAGAAAAGUUAUUCAUUUCCAAUUUAAGACUCAUCAAGGGAUAAAAUCUGAAAACUUAUAAAGGAUACUUAUUACAGAAAAAAUUUAAGGGGAAACUGGUGCUGUGGAGAGACCCAUGUGGAAAGGAACUGAGGACUCCCGGCAAAAGUCACCAAGGACCGAGGUUGCUGACAGCUGCAUGUGAACUCGGAAGCAGAUCAAUCCUUGCCCAAGCCCACACUUUGUCUACAGCCUUGGUGAGAGACCCUGAGCCAGGGAUGCACAUCCAAGCUGCACCCAAACUCUUGACCCACAGAAACUGUGAGAUGAUGAAUGUGUUUAAGCCCCCAUAUUGUGGAGUCAUUUAUUACACAGCAAUAGAUGGCUAAGAUGAGCACUAUUUUUAUCCCCUUGUGAGUUCAUGGCUUGGUCUCCCUACCUCCCACUGACUAAAUGUGGCUAAAGCAAAAUCCAAUAACCAGCUGUCUCUGAACAAUAUUAACUGAAUGCCUACUGUUUACUAGCAUGACAGGAAUUCAAAAGAGUUUAUGAGGGAAAUGGCCACAGUGAGGCAGAGGAUUUACAUGCUGGGAAGGCUUCAUCCUGGCAAAUUACCCAGGGCAGACCUUCCCUCCUUCACUGUCUAAAAUAUCCAACUCUUAUAGUUUCAAAUCCCCAUCUCUUAUUGUCUGUCUUAUAGAAACCACCCUGACUCCUCAAAUACAGUCACUCCAUUCCCUAUGA